AUGGAGAAGCCCCCCUUUACAAAAAGAUCUCUGAAAAAUUUGUGUGGCAAAAUCACCAGGGUGCGGGCUGAAGAUGAUGUGAGGACUAUGGAGGUUUUCGCAGAACUCAGUUCAAGAGAUCGCCACUUCACUUAUCGUAUGCAAGCAGACAACGAUGGUCCGAUAACAAAUUUGAUGUGGGCGAAUGUGAGCAGCAGGUUGCAGUACACAUUCUUUGGAGACAUCGUUACUUUCGAUACGACUUACAGAACAAACAUGUACAACAUGCCAUUUGGUCUAUUCGUCGGUGUGAACAAUCAUUUUCAGAGUAUCAUCCUGGCUGGGGUUUUGGUUCGUGAUGAAUAAGAGAGAACAUUUGAGUAGGUUUUCACGGAGUUCGUUAGGAUGAUGGGAGUGAGUGCGCCCAAAACAAUUCUGACAUAUCAAUGCUGCGCAAUGGAGUUUGCCAUAAAAAAUGUAAUGCCUCAGACUGUGCAUCGAUGGUUCAAGUGGCACGUGCUAAAAAAGGCAGAAGAAUCACUCAAUUCAUUGUACACCAAGAAGAGUGAGUUCAGGGCAGAGUUCCACAAGGUAGUGAAUCACAUGCUUACAAUCGACAAAUUCGAGGAAGCUUGGAAGAUCUUGGUGGAGAAAUACAAUCUAAAGACUCACUCAUACAUGCCGCAACUGUAUGAAAUACGGCACAAGUGGGAGAAGCCAUAUUUCAAAGGUGUUUUCUGUGCAAAGAUGACCAGCACACAGUGCAGUGAACGUACAAACAACAUGCUGAAGAAUAAUGUUCCACCGGGUUGUCCAGUGAAUAUGUUUAUCAAGAAGUACAUGAGACUUCAAUUUGACAGGGAAGCAGAGGAGAACUACGAGGAGAAACAGACACAAAUAGUAAAAUGCCUCUACAAUGCAAAAUUAGCUAUCGAUCGUCAUCCUGGUAAGAUAUACACAUGAGCUAUGUUCGAGCAGUUUGGGCAUAUACUCUAUGAGUGUGGGGCAUACCAAGUUGAAGAGCUUGAGAAGGGGAAACUUUAUCGUGCGAUUCACAUGGAGGCUGUAAGGAGAGAAAAGUGCUGCAGAGUGUCGUACGAGGUAAAUGUACUGGAAGGGGGUGAUGAACUUGAAUGUGAGUGUGAGCCAUUUGCACACAUGGGUCUGCUAUGCAGCUAUGUUUUAAGGUAUGGUCACUUUGCAGUUGGACACAUUUGUGCACAGCCUAUGGUGAACUAA
rnacentral:rRNA from 1 species